CGGUAAUUCCAGCUCCAAUAGCGUAUACUAAAGUUGUUGCAGUUAAAAAGCUCGUAGUUGGAUUUCUGCGGGGACGGAGCGGCCGGUCGCAACUUGCGACUCGAGCUAGCGCUUUCCCCGCAUCCUGCCGCGAACCGUGCUACCAUUAGUUUGGUGGCGCUGGGGAUCGGCUCGAUUACUUUGAGAAAAAUAGAGUGUUCAAAGCAGGCCACACGCCUUGAAUAAGUUAGCAUGGAAUAAUGACUAAGGACCUCGGUUCUAUUUUGUUGGUGUUCGGGACUGAAGUAAUGAUUGAUAGGGACAGUUGGGGCGGUCUGUAUUCCAAAGCGAGAGGUGAAAUUCUUAGACCUUCGGAAGACAAACAGCUGCGAAAGCGUUCCGCAAGGAUGUUCCCUUUGAUCAAGAACGAAAGUUGGGGGAUCGAAGACGAUCAGAUACCGUCGUAGUCUCAACUAUAAACUAUACCAGCUAGGGAUCGGUCAACGUUUAAUUAUUCGACUUGAUCGGCACCUUAUGAGAAAUCAAAGCAUCUGGGUUCCGGGGGGAGUAUGGUCGCAAGGCUGAAACUUAAAGGAAUUGACGGAAGGGCACCACCAGCCGUGGAGCCUGUGGCUUAAUUUGACUCAACACGGGAAAACUUACCAGGUCCAGACAUAGUAAGGAUUGACAGAUUGAUAGCUCUUUCUUGAUUCUGUGGGUGGUGGUGCAUGGCCGUUCUUAGUUGGUGGAGUGAUUUGUCUGGUUAAUUCCGUUAACGAACGAGACCCCAGCCUGCUAAAUAGCGCGGCUGAGCUUUGCUCGGUGCGAGCUUCUUAGAGGGACUAUGAUGCGCGAUAGCACAUGGAAGUUUGGGGCAAUAACAGGUCUGUGAUGCCCUUAGAUGUUCUGGGCCGCACACGGGCUACACUGGCGCCUGCAACGAGCAUAUCAGCUGGCCCGAGAGGGUCUUGGCUAAUCUUUUGAACCGGCGCCGUGCUUGGGAUUGACCUUUGCAAUUGUUGGUCAUGCAACGAGGAAUGCCUUGUAAACGCGAGUCAUCAGCUCGCAUUGAAUACGUCCCUGCCCCUUGUACACACCGCCC
rnacentral:rRNA from 1 species